AACGAACGCUGGCGGCAGGCCUAACACAUGCAAGUCGAACGCUCGUAGCAAUACGGGAGUGGCAGACGGGUGCGUAACGCGUGGGAACAUACCCUUUGGUUCGGAAUAACUCAGGGAAACUUGAGCUAAUACCGGAUACGCCCGAGAGGGGAAAGAUUUAUUGCCGAAGGAUUGGCCCGCGUCUGAUUAGCUAGUUGGUGAGGUAACGGCUCACCAAGGCGACGAUCAGUAGCUGGUCUGAGAGGAUGAUCAGCCACACUGGGACUGAGACACGGCCCAGACUCCUACGGGAGGCAGCAGUGGGGAAUAUUGGACAAUGGGCGCAAGCCUGAUCCAGCCAUGCCGCGUGAGUGAUGAAGGCCUUAGGGUUGUAAAGCUCUUUCGGCGGGGAAGAUAAUGACGGUACCCGCAGAAGAAGCCCCGGCUAACUUCGUG
rnacentral:rRNA from 1 species